rnacentral:rRNA from 1 species
UGAAGAGGGAAGAGCUCAAAUUUGAAAGCUGGUACCUUCGGUAUCCGCGUUGUAACCUCGAGACACGUUUUCCGUGCGGCGCUAUGGACAAGUUCCUUGGAACAGGACAUCGUAGAGGGUGAAAAUCCCGUACUUGCCAUGGAUGUACCGUGCUUUGCGAUACGUGCUCUAAGAGUCGAGUUGUUUGGGAUUGCAGCUCAAAAUGGGUGGUAGACUCCAUCUAAAGCUAAAUAUCGGGGAGAGACCGAUAGCGAACAAGUACCGUGAGGGAAAGAUGAAAAGCACUUUGGAAAGAGAGUUAAAAGUACGUGAAAUUGUCGAAAGGGAAGCGCUUGAAGUCAGCCAUGCCGCUCAGGACUCAGCCUGGCUUUUGCUUGGUGUAUUUCCUGGGUAGCAAGUCAGCAUUGGUUUGGAUCGUCGGAGAAGCAUAGUUGGAAUGUGGCGCCCUCGGGCGUGUUAUAGCCUUCUAUUGGAUACGACGAUCUGGACCAAGGAACGCAGCGCGCCUUAUGGCGGGUCUUCGGACACCUUCGCGCUUAGGAUGCUGGCGUAAUGGCUUUAAGU